GCAGCUUAGCAGGGAGUUUAGUGCAACACUGUCAUUUGCUUUCAUCGGCAAAUAGAUUUGUAAAUCAUCUGCGUAGCAAUGACAUGACCGGUUGUGCUUCCCUAUAAUCGCCCCUAAAGGCAGCAUAUAUAAAGAAAACUGAACAGGGCCAAGGAUGGAUCCCUGGGGUACCCCACAAGAUAGAGGAGCAACUGACGAGGAGAGGUCCCCAAUCAUGACAGAAAAGCUCCUAUUUGACAGAUAGGAGCUGAACCAUUUAAGUGGCAAACCUUUGAUGCCUACACAAUUCUCAAGGCGUGAGAGGAGGACUGCAUGGUCCACUGUAUCAAACGCCGCUGUGAGGUCCAAAAGGACUAAAACGUCCACAUGUCAAGGC